UUCCAUUCCAUUCCAAUCAAUUACAUUGCAAUCCAUUACAUUCGAGUCCGUUCUAUUCCAGUCCAUUCCAUUCCGGUCCAUUCCCUUCGAUUCCAUUACUUUCGAUUCCAUUCCAUACUAUUGCAUUCCAUUCGAUUACAUUCUAAUCGAAUACAUUCAUUCAAGACCAUUACUUUCGAGUCCAUUCUAUUUGAGUGCGUUCCAUUCUAGUCCAAUAUAUUUGGGUCCAUUCAUUCCAUUCCAUUCCAUUGCGUUCCAUUAUAUUACUUUCCUUUCCAUUUGUGUCCAUUCGAUUCCAUUCCAUUCGAUACCAUUCCAUUCUAUUAAAUUCCAUUUGAGUCCAUUGCAUUCGAGUCCAUUCCUUCCCAUUCCAUUCCAUUCCAUUCCGUUCCAUUCCAUUCGAUGCCAUUCCAUUC
rnacentral:lncRNA from 1 species